CUUUGUCUUGUGGUUUUUUGGCAAGUUGUCAGGAGGAGACGCCAUUAGUUCGCUUGCUUUGCUGGAUUUUCCUAAUUUUUGUGUGCUUUCUGCGUUGGCGGGUGCCUUCAGAUUCGGUUUAUGAGUCUUGAGUUUUUGAUGUAUCUGACCAAGUGAUGCUGGAUCUCGAAUUGGGUGCGGUGAUCUAGUUCGAUGUUGAGGCCCAGCACGUUUGGGCGGUGCAGUGUAAGAGGGCAUGUUCAGUUGUUUCUGGCUCUUUGCACUCAAGGCAGUUUGGGUUUUCUUGUGGCAUCAGUCUGGCCAUCUGUGCCUUUAGUCUGUUGUAUCCGGUUCUCAGCCUGAAGAGUAUUUGUGUUCUCUUCCUA